rnacentral:lncRNA from 1 species
GAACAUGCUAGAACUUAAAAACCAUGUUAGGAAAAUUUUCUGCAUUUUGGAAAAUAGUUUCAACAUUUGGUAUCGAUACCGAUACUAUUUUAUCGAUAUUUUUGAAAAAUAUCGAUACUUAUUUAAAAAGUAUUGAUAUUCAUCUUAUUUUAAAGAUUCCUAUAGCGUGUCUUCAACAGAUUAAAAAAAACCAAAUAUUUUUUCUUUGCCCCCUUUUAGAACCCUCUCAACCCUAUUCAAAUUCUUCAUUUUUCCUUUAAAUUCUUGACACAAAACAACUAACAUUGCCAUUCUCUACAAGAAUUCAUCAAGUUUGCUUUCAAAUUUCAUCAUUCCAAGAAAUUUCGAGGUAAAAACUCAUUUUUCCCAUUUCAAAUUUUGUUGAAUUUUUGUAAAACUAUUGGUUGGAAAUUGUGUUUUUGGUUUGAUUUGGAAUAUAUACUUGUGUUUUUUUGCAAGAGGUUGCCUAAAUUUAGUCAAAAUCUUAAAUUUUUUCUUUUAAACCCUUUGCUUACAAGGUGUUCGAUAAAAUUCCCCAACCAGAUCCUAUAUCUUAUCUAGUGGUCAACCUAUUUCUUUCAAUGAUUGUUUUAGAAAUGACAAUGAUUCUUACUGGUCUGAUCAAUAUUAUUCAAAAUGAAAAGUUAAUGUUUCUUGCACUCUUAAUGUCGAAUUUUUAGCCAAAUUCAAUUUUCAAUUUCUUAAAACGUUAGCCAAAUAGCAUUGGAUCAAUUUUUUUUAAAUUCGUUCACCUACACAUGCUAAUAUUGUUCGAGCAUUUUAUUCAAAUGCUAGACUCGAACAUGAUGAAUCCGGUGAGACUGUGAUUGCUAUUAAUUCUUUUCCCAUAAAUACUAUUAUUUGUCUCACUUUGGAGAACUUUGGUGAAUUUUUUAAACUUCCUCUCGGCGGUGAGUCGAAUGAGAAAGGUCCCUUAUAAUCCAACCUUGAAUGUUCGAAACUCGUAUGCAUCUGAGCUCAAUGUUCAUGAUCGUGUUUUGCAUUUUAUAAUUACAUAGAUAUUGAGUCUUAUUUCAAAACAUGUCGUUCUUCGAGCUACCGACUAUUGGUGGAUUGAUUGUUUUCAUAGCAAUAAACGUUUGGAUCUUGCUUUAAUUUUAAUUAAUGACAUUACCAAACAAAUUGGAAGGAACUCGUUAGUAAGAUAUCUUUGCCUUUUGACACGUAGUUGUCAUACAUUUUUAAAUGCCUAAACAUCCUAACCAAUGUAAAUACUCCUUUGGCUAUUAAUUGUCAACCUAUUAGCUUUACUGCCCUUCAUAAAGCUAGUUCUAAAAUGGAUCAUCUUAUCAAAAAUUGGGUUAAGGAUGACCAUCAUAACCCUUAAGAUGAUGAACCGACUUCUUUAUUUGCCCAACUAUCUGCUCUGCCUUUCUCCGACGACAUGUUUGCUGUCGUCCUUAGUGUCAUUACUUCCUUGAGUGAAGAGUUUCGGGGGUUUCGCACUUAAGUAGAUGAAGCAUUUCAACGUGUUAAUACUAAUGUUGAAGCUUUUGCUUUAAUAAUGUAUUUCUCCUAGGUGAGAUGCUGAAAAUAUGAAUUUUUGUCUUUGAAGGUGGCUAGGAGAACAUUUGAAAUGUGAAGAAAAGAAGGUGCUGAAUUUUAACAUUUAAAACCCCAAUGCUGCAGCAAAGUUGUGGCAUCAAGUCUAAUUGGAGAAUAUUGGAGACCUCACAUUUAAAGAACACCACAUCAACUCUUAGGCUUAAUCCAUUUCUUAGUCAAUAGUUGAUUAUGAUUGAGAACCAGAAGGAAUUAGGCUCUGCAAAAAUUGAAUGCCCCAAAUACUCAUAAAAGGAAAAAAUAGAAUAGAAAGGGGAGUUGACCUAGCACCCACCAUCUUUUGGGGAUAUAAAUACAUCAUUGUCAGAAUAGGAUAGUAGGCAGCCGCCUGAUACAAGACAGAACACCCAUUUUCAGAAGAAUAAAAGCUAGAAAGAAGAAGAAAAUGAAGGGAAAAGAGAGAAGAACCAUUGAGGAGAAUCACAUUAUUUGGCUUGAAAUCUCUUCAUGUUUCUCUUUAAAUUUUGUUUCUUUUCUUAUUUUUAUCUUAGACUAUUGCUAAGUUUUUCUUAAUCAUUUUUAAUUUGGUGUUUAUGGGCUAAACGUUUAUUAGCUAGAAUAAUUAUAAAACCUUAAUAUGAGAUUUUUGGUACUUUGCUAAGGAUGCUUUAAGCAAUAUGUGAUUUAUUCAUUCAAAUGUUAUUCAUGUUUGAUUCUUACUAUUACCUGAUCAAUGUUAGUGUGCAAUUGAUUUAAUUACUAAUUUUGAAAAGGUUGUAAUUAACGGACUUAAAACUUGAAUGGUGCAUGUUUAAUUUUUUUUAUUUAAUUUUAUAAAGAUAUAAACAUAUAUUGUUACUAUGCAUAAUCUUGUAGGAAUGGUGCUUG